GGCUGGGUAGCUCAGUGGUAGAGCAGAGGACUCAUAAACCUCUGGCCGGCGGUUCGACCCCGCCCCCAGCCA
rnacentral:tRNA from 1 species